CCAAUCUCAUUUUCUCCUUCUCUCUCUCGGCCGCACAAGCCUCUCUCUCGCUCUCUCUCACCUUAUCUCUGUCACGCAGGAAAGCUUGACUUUUGGCCAUCGACUUUUGACACCGCCACCACCAAAAGAUAGCCCAGGCGACGAAGAAUGAAACCUAGCCACCUCGCCCUCGAUCGAAAUCACCGGCCACUGCACGCGACCCCCAAAGCUACGACGUCGUUGUUCCUUAAUCCUCUUCGAUCUCCGGCCAUCUUUUCAACACGCUCAGACCGAUCUGCAGGAGUUUCGACCACUAGACGACGACUUCUCAUUCAAUCAUUCUCCGACUUUGCCAAAAGAGGGAGGAAGAAUUGCUUUCUUGUUGGUGGAGAGAGAGUGCAGAAUGCAGUGAAGGUCUGAAACAGGGGCCUAGUUCCAGUAAGAAAGUGGAUGAGAAGGCUCGUUCGGUUCCAUUGUAUGAAGAGGAAGAAGAGAGAGUCGGUGUCCUUGUUAAGGGAGGGCUUUAUGAAGUAUUGUUUAGUGAAGCGGCAUUGUUUCCCUGUUUAUUGGGAUGGAGAAAACCGGCGUGUCUUAAGAGGCAACUGGUUUGCUCGUAAAGGGGUUGAUUGGCUGCCUCUUCGUGAAUAUUUCCUUAUCUACAAGAAGAUAAGGAAAUAUUCAUAGAAGGUACUAAUUCCGGGAAACAAAAGUGCAGGCAAAAGUUGCAGCAUUAGUGCCAUAUCGUGUGUGGUUGCAGAUGAAUGUGUUUCCAUGGAUGAAUAGGUCCAGCACCCCACUGCCCGUAUUGCUUUAGACCUUGGCAUUGCUGGUCUUGACACCGUAAGUGAAUAUGAACAGGAAUUGAUUACUUAUCUGUUGCUGCAUUUGAUGUUUUCAUUUCAUCCCACCUUGUUUUUCUAGAAAGCAGGGUAAGAAAAUGUUUCUUUCAUCAUUCUUGAAUGGCAGCUUCACAAUAUAUAGUAGGAAAAUUGAGUUUUCUGGCAUGUUUUUCUGAUUAAGCUCAAGUACAAUGAUAAGACUCGAUCAGCUCUAAGACUCUAUUCAAUCUUUCAGGAAAUCAUCCUUGUGGAAGCCCUGAAACUUGAGAACAUCCAACCGGGAAUAUAUUCAGUCCAUUACAGACUCCUUUUAUAUCCUCGUAAAUUGUUUAUUAAUGAUUUAAAAAUCCUUUUAUAUCCUUGUGAUUGUACCAACAUCUUUGCUAUAAUUUGUAGAUCAACUACUUAUGGGAAAUUUUGUAUCAAAUUGCUUUAAGGCUUUGAAUUGAGAUGGUGGAAAUGAAAGGCAAUGGGCAGUCAUUGGAGUCUGGAGAUCAAGCUUGGAACACCCAACAAAUUGUAUUCUUCUUUAUCAUCAUGUAAAGCUUAUGAAACUUGGAAGUUUGUUAAGCCAAUGAAAUGGAUUAAUGCUUUAUGUACUUGUCUUUGGUGGAUCUAUUGGAGUUUAUUAUAUGUAUCAAAGUUGCUUCUAGUUGAAUAUUAGUCACUUUUAUACCA